rnacentral:lncRNA from 1 species
GUCCCUCCUUCCUUUUUUCAAUACUGACCAAAUUAGCCUUUCGGUCCUUCUGGAUGCCAUCAAUGUUGUGUAAUAAGUCUAUAAGUCUUGUUUCUAAAUCUUGUAAGUGCCCGGAUGUCUUAGCAUUAUUAGUGACUUCGUCAAGAGGAAUAACGUUGCAUUUCUGGUGUUCUUUAAUGCAUUUGAAACAAAUAGGUAACGCAUCCUGAAUGCAGUAUUGCUGAUACUUUUCAUUGUGAUAGGUACAUGACUGAUGUAUAUCAGUAAUGAAGGACGGAAGAGAUUUGUACUUGUCUAUUGACAUGAGUUCGUGACUUCGUGUUGCUUUAAACACUUUAUGAUGUUCUCUGCAGUCAUCACAAAUGGCUUCCUCACAUUCCGCGCACCAGUAUUCAGAUGGUUUGGUUAUGUGUCGCUGUGAACAUGGACCACAAAGAGUUGUACUAGAAGCCAUGGGGAUUACCUGAAAUAUGUAUCAAUAUACAUUUUUAUCAUAACAUCAUAAAUACUAAGCUGUAAUAUGACUCCUCGGCCUUAUUAGAGAACACUUUUCACUAAACACCCGACCCCUCCGACAAUAUUAAUCACCAAUAUCCAACAAAAACGACAACACUAACUUCUCUAACUCUCUGACUUACCACCAACACCGACACCCCCGACAAUACUAACAACCAAGACCUGACUUUCCAACAACACUACCAACCAACACGUUAGAAAAUACACAUUAGAUAUAGCAAAUGUUUCGUAAAACAGGGAAAACUCUACUUGCCACUCCAGGAAGCUGCCUGCUUGUUUUGUUUAACACUGCCCCUAAAGAAAAUGAAGUAAAGACUGACAACACAUCAAACAAAAGCAAUUUACCAUCACCACUAAAUAACGAAAAUAGGGGAUGGGUCCAAGGAACACAGAUGAUGCACCCGCUUCAAUUUUUUGUCCUAAAUGCUUUUCAAUUUCGUACCUCAAAAAGAUCAGCAAUUUUGCCAUUUGUAAAGGAACAUAACUCUUGAACGAUUGAAAUGACACCUCCAAAAUUCAAACUUGAAUACUAAAAAUUUUAUACUCUGGAAAUAGUUUCAUUAUUCUGGUUUAAACACUGUCAGAAUUUGUAUUCAAAAUAUCUUCAUCUGGCAAAAACUGUUUACAUUUUUUAGUCCUCAAUGUACUGCAUCUUUGUUUUUGUUUUUUUUAACUUUUUUAAACGUCACUGUUUUUUGUAUUUUUAAGACAAAAACCGUGUCUGGCCUACUCAAUAACAACAGAGCUAAUAUCAAUAACAAAAUAACGAAAACAGACACCUUAAAGGUUUUCAGAAUUUGUAUUGUUGGUUCUAUACACAAGCUGACAGUCACUUGUAGCAGAUAGUUUGAAGUCUGCCAAAGUUUCCGUCAGUCAGUCUAAUUUAUUACCUAUUUGUCUAUAUUCUUUAUAUUUUUAAAUCUUUACGUUUUUAUUUUUGAGGAAACGAAUGAUUAAUUCUAUUUCGGCUUUGAAUUAAGUAACUCGCUGAAGAGCGAUACAAUUCUUCAUUCACCAUAAAUUACAAUCAGAUGUUUAAUAAAUGUACAAUACAUGCUUAGUGAAGUGUAGUUUAUCAAUAGCAUUUUAACAUUGCCGUUAUAACCUGAGAUAUCGACUUUAUUUUCUAGAUUUGAUUGCAGUUUAUUCCGCACUUUUUACCCUAUAAUUUAGAGAGAAAAAAACCCGAGUAUAAUGCUAAAAAAUAUAAGUCCAAUUCAUCUUAUCGUUAAAAACAGUGCAGUAUUUGCUUAGUUCAGUGUAACAUAUAAAUAGCAUUUUUGCCCUUGCACGUGUUACACAGUUACACGUUAAAUCGACAUUAUCAAUUAAAUUUGCUGUACUAUAAACAAAAAUCUAAUGAUAUUAUAUCUAUCUGCUUAAAUAAAUUCAAUUGCUUUAAAACCAUUAUCAAAUCAUCUAUUUUGGGGUAAUAAUUUUUUUUUUAUUACAAUACAUGCAUUGUCUCUACGUGCUUAUCAAGACAAAACGUUUUAAAAUAAGUUUAAAUCAGUAGAGUCAUAUUUCUAGAACAUGUUGACAGCUUUUAUUAAUUAUAUAAACUGUCAACUGUGUAUGUGAAAAUGUAAACAAUAUUAAUUGAAAAUCUCAAUCUUACUUGAACCAAAUAUCAACCUUCAUAACAAGGAAAUAUAACGUUAUUUGAUAUCUUCGUAGUGUAUGUCACAUGACUAUACUAAGAACCUUUAAAAACGAAACACAUCAAAUCUUCGUAUUUCACCUGAAGUUCAUAUGUCAGUUACUUUCUUCUCUUGAGGCUUUCUUAAAAAUUACCAUGUAUUACUCAUUGAAUUAAAUCAUAUAUAUUUUGUUGUAGAUUUGGUUGUGUUCAGUACUGAAAUAUUUAGUCGUAAAAAGUUCUAAAGCGAAAUAUUUUCCGCAAAAUAUUACAUUUGACCAAAUAUCACUGCAUGUUAUCUUAUCAUUGUGUUAUUUGUUUGCUGUCCCAUUCACGUUUGCCAUAUAACUCAUUUAAUUAAUUCAAGUUUCAUCAUACAAUUCAAAACUUUUAUAAUAUUUGCUAGGUUUGUGUUUUUACAUUAACGGUUAAAAUUUUCAAUGCGAAUUGGGCUUUUUCGUUUUGGCCUUUAUGUGACAUAUGUGUUGCGUUAUUCAGUACUAACGAUGGUAGUACUCUCUUGUCUGCUUACUCAGGUUUAAAUACUUAAAAGUUUGAACAUAUUAAAAGGGUCUAGAUGGCGAUUAGAGAGUUAUAGACAUUAUGUGCAGAAUAAAGGAUAAACAAUUCAAAGAACAAAGUAAAAUUAUCCCAACAUUAAAAAAUGGAAAACAGUUGGCUGAUAGAAAAUUGAGCAAAAAUGAUAAAGAAUAGAGAAAACAAGUGCUAUGAAUUUAAAAAAAAAAUACAGAGUUAAUGGACGGUCUAUGAACCUCAUUCACACAUUUUACAUCUGAGUGAGAAAAACCUACGAAACUUCUUUAUAUGUAAAUUUCUGUCUAUGGUGAGCGGAAUUUGAACAAUCAAUUAACACUUAAACCAGAAAGUGAAUAACCAAACUAAGACAUCAGGAGACUGGAAUGGACGUGUUAACAUUUGCAAGACAUUUCAUCUGUAUUUGACACGGUUAUUUGAAUAACAGUAUGCCACUAUAAAUUUUACUAUGAGAAUAACACCUUUUGGUAUAAAUCAAUCUAAUAAGAUACGUUAAAGGUGUCAGAUGUGAUGAUAAAUGACAAAACAGAAGUUGACAUUCGAAAAAGUAAAAUAGUUCCGUUGUAAUUUCAGACUAGUUAUCACAAACUUAGAAUAAGCACUCUGGUCAUUAAUACGAUCGUUUUUUCAUAUGUUUCGAAUGUUAUGAAUAUUUUAAAUCAUUCAUAACACUAAAUAUUUGUACUCGAUCUUCCUCCCCAUUACAUAAACGGAUCAUUCGGAAACUGUUUUGGGAUAUUGUUUUCAAAUGCUUUUAUUUAAAGGCCUAGGGGAGGUUGGCUAUCUUUAAAACUAUGUUUUAGUCACCAUUUGCUUAAUAAGAAAAUGUCUGUUACAAGUCAGGAAUAUGACAGUUGUUAAUCAUUUGUUUGAUCUGUUUCAGCUUUUGAUUGUUCUAUUUGGCGAGGGACUUUCCUUCUUGAAUUAUCCUCAGAGUUCAGUAUUGUUGUGAUUUAACUUUUUUUUAACUGGAAAAUUAUUGAAAAAGGUAGUGACUUUUAAAUCUUUAUUUAGACUAAGGUUUUUGUAGUUUAAACAUUUCAUACAUCAAAGAAAGGUGGCAUGCAGAUUGUCAUAUAAAACAUAUUAAUUCAAAUUUUGAGUAACACUGUAAAGGAACGCAGUUUUUUUUUUGUGUUCGCAACAAGAAGUUUCCUGGUUUGUUUAUGAAAGAAAACAGCUGACAGAUUACGUAGACCAUCUGCGUCUGUCAGAAUUUGUCUGUGAACUUUUCCAUUAUUUGAUAUGAUGAUCACAUUCGACGACGUGCUUCCAAUAACAAAUACGUUACCGUCAUUAUCUGCUGUGAUGCGCACAAAACUUUCAUGACUGAUUAAUCUAUAAAACUCCAAAUACGUGAUUCAUUACGAUCGCAACAAACUACACUGUCAAUUUACCAGUGAGUGUAGUAUAUCUUGUCGUCGAAUACAGAUAUGUAGAAACCUGACGAUAAGUUGCAACUGACCACGUGAGAGGUAGUAUACUCAAUUGUUUUUAAUUUAUAUAUACCCUGUCUUUCAACACAAACAAACAGUGACUCUUGAUCACUUGUGAUUGCCAAUGGACGACCAGGAAGUCUGAUGAAUUUUAUUUUCUUUCGGCUUUUUGUAUCUAUUAUGUCAAUUUCGAUGUGCUUAAACUAAUGUCCAGGGCUAGGAUAAGGUUGUGCGCUCAGCUUUUUGUAUUAUAGGUACAGGGUUAGGAUACAUGUGCGCUCACAAACAUGCUUUUUGUAUAUAUAUUGUGCUAUUCAACUAUUGCCAAGGGCUAGAAUACAGGCUGUGUGUGCUCACAAACAUGUUAAACCCCACAACGUAUGUUUUAUGACAUCAGUAUUUUAGCUGUUUAUCUCGCCUGGUACUCUCCCUUGCAACAUACGGGUAUCACAGACCCAAACAGAUAACGACCAGACAACAAGUCUACUGUCUAUUAUGUUGUUAAUUGCAGUCUGUUAUUCGUUUACUAUAAUAUUGUUUUUUCAUGAAUAAAUUUGCAUUGUUUUUUACGUGUUUAUUUGUCAUGUUGAGGAAUUUAAUAGUAAACCAUACAGUAUGUGUCAUGGUCAUUGUUGAAGGCAAUACGCUUGAAAAUAAUUCAGAAACACACUUAAUGUGUAAUGUUGGUUAUUAUACCAUGUUUGUUAAUUUUUUAUAAGAAUUUUGUUCGCUUCCAAUAAUAGCAAGAUAUAGGAUAUUUAUGCGAAUGCUAUUUUAUAUCUAAUGAGUAAAAUGGUAGACUGCAGGAUACAAAUCUUUUUUCCAGCAUAAAACAAAUACAUUUGCUUCAGACGACAAAGCAAGGUUAGGUUUUGAUUGAUUUAGUCAUUGACAUUGUUAAAACAAUUUUGUAAUUCAUCUUCCGGCAUAUUCAUUUUUAGAAUGUAUAAAAGACUGUCAAUUAACGUCAUAAACCAACUACGUUUCUGACAUCUAUACUUUUCGCAGACUAUCGGACUUUAGCGUACGGAAGCAUCGUACUUUAUCGUAUACCAUCGCACUCUAGCUUGUCCAUCGUACUUUAGCGCCCUCAUCCCACAUAGACAUGUGUUAGAGUCCUAUAUAUAUAUAUUUAUAUAUUAUGUAUAUAUAGACUUGACUUUUUAGCAUUUUUAUGUAUUGUAUUUCUAUUGUGUAUAUUAUGUUUGUAUUUUUGCAAAUAAGUAUUAAAUAAAUAUAUGAUUCUUACCUACACAUCAAUAGUGAAUUUGCAUAUGUCUUUAACAAACUAAAUAAACGUCGACUUAUAUAUCUAUACAAAUCACCGAUUAUUUUACCUCUAAGAACAAGUAAAUAAAAAUCCUACAUUUUGCAAUUGAUAGAUUAUCGACGCGAUUAAAAUUUUGGAAGAUGACUUGAAAAUAUUAUGUUUGGACACACAUAUUUUUGAAUUCGGAAAAUCGUGUUGGUUUCUAUUUUGCAAUUAUAUGGCAUAUAACCAAUGUUAUUUAUCAACGUUUAACCAAAAAACCGUGUUGUAUUUCUUGGACGUUGCUCUUCAAUUUCUACAUUCUGCCAUUGUGUUAUCAGUUAUUAUGUUAUUGCGUCAUCGUAAAUGUGUAAUUAAGAAAUAAUUCAUGGGGGCUUGAAUGUAUGGUGAAAUUACCACGAGUUGGCCCCUUGAAAUAUUUUAGCCUAAGCGAUAGCGAGGGGUAAAAUAUCGGCAUAAAGGGACAACCCGUGGUUAAAAUCUAGAUAUAUUCAAACCCCAUGAAUUAUUUCGAUUCUGAUAGGACAAAUACGGCAAUUCUUUUGGAUCGAAGCGCUCUAGGUGAAGCCAUUAUUUGCCGUUCCCAUAAAUAAACGCACUAUUAAAUUGACGUAAAAGAACGGAGCAAACUGAAUAAGUGACAUGCUCAAACUAUUUACAAUAACGUAUUUAGAUAGGUUUGGAUGAUUAUAAAUGAUAACUUUUCUAAUUUGUCUUAUAUGUAUACAAACAAUGGCAUAAUAACACAUUUUAGCAUCGUUUGUUUUUAAAAGUUGCCUUGUCGUGAUGAUUUUCGGUUUCACAAGUGUGUAUUUUCCCGUAAAAUGUUUAUACUCUGACGUCAUCAUUCUAUGACGUCCGGGUAGCUAAUUCAUAAAAAAGCAUAUGACGUGGGAGUACGAUCGGAACAGCCCAAGCAAUAUACUCAUAUUUAACCACGGAUGUGUACUCAAAGCGUUUGUAUGACGUAAUGUUAGAAUAGUAUUCAGAUAAUUACACAACAUUGAUUGAUGUACCCCUAUUUUUUACAUGAAUACCUAUAAUGUCGGUUUGUUUUGUUCACACAUCGUUGUCAUCAUACUGAAAUUUUAUACGACUGUCAUACAGGUCUAAUUCACCAUUUUCUACCUGAGAAAAUGCCUGUACAAAAUUAAGAAUAUGACAGUUGUUAUCUAUAUUUUUUUGAUGUGUUUGAGCUUUUGAUUUUUGCCCUUUUGAGUAUGGGCUCUCUAUUUAGAAUUUUCCUCAGAGUUCAGUAUUUUUGGGGUUUUACUUAUUGGUCAUUACUAUUUGUUACUUUACGAAUAUACAUUGUCGUAAAACGAGUGUUUGUGAAACAGAGACAGGGACAACUGGUUUUCACAAGGUAACCAAUCAGUAAUUUUAAUAGAGUGUUAUAUUAUCCUUCCUAAAAGCUAGUAAUAUCUGUAAGUAUGCAAGACCAGCAGAGAGAUAAGCAUGUCUAUGUUUUUGAAUUUCUAUAUACUCUUUUGAAAGUUUUAAAUAUUUUCAAUAAAAACAUGUAUUUGUUCAUACACAUUUAUUAGGGAACUAGCAUACUAGGUAAAGAUUUACUAAUCUAGUACUCGUUGGAUUUACCGAGCAGAUACUCUAGUACUUUUCUAAUAAAAACAACUUCUACAAAUUGAAACACAAAAUUAAACCCAUUUAUGUAUUGACGUAAAACUUUCAACAUUAUUACCUAGGAUUACAUUUCAUGUUUUUUCACAUUCUUUAAAUAGUAUGCAAUUAGAAAAACUGUGCAAAUUUAUUGCAAUUAUUCAUGUGAAAAUAUGUUUUCCAAGUUAUAACUAACAUGGAGUAUUUUACACAUGCGUGUAGUUAACUAUAAUUCGUCUAAACAUUAGCCCAACAAUGUUAGAUCUGUAAAUUUGCUUUCGCAAAUGUUUUGUUCUUCCCUCACUGUUAUGCGAUCUCAUGCUACUUAGAUAUCGUGUUACCAAAUUGCCUUACACUGCAUUCGACACGCUAGACCAUUCCAUUCAUUCAUGCGUUCAUUCAGAUAAUACAUGUAAUAAAUCCAAGGAAUUAUCAGCUAACUUACUUACUGUUACCAAUUUAAAGCAUCAAGUUAAACCCCUGACGAUAAUCUAAAAACCAAUUUGCCGAUUGCAUUCCUUUGAAUUUUCGUCGGAGUUCAGUAUUUUUGUUAUUUUACUUUUUAUUGCAAAACAAUACAAAAAUAAAAUAACUGACUCUUUGGUCAAGAAUCAGUGGCGGACCCAGAACUGUUUAAAAGGGUGUUCAAAUAUCUGCAAAAAAAAUUCUUGUUUAUAUGUACAUUUAUUAAAAUGCUUAAAGAAAUAAUAUGCUUCUUCUUAUAUUUAUAGCAAAAAAUUCUGUGAAUCAAAGAAAACAGCAGACGAAUGAGUCAUUUCAAUUCCAAUCACCUUAAGUAACACUGUAAAGGAAAGCAUUUUUUCUGGUGUUUGCAAACAAGAAGUUUCCCUCUUCUUUUUAUCAAAGAAAAUAGCAGACGGUUUCUCAUAGACACAUCGUCUCUUUGUCAGAGAUUUGUCUGUGGUGUUUUCCAUCGUUUGAUAUAAUGACCACAUUCGACGACAAGCUCUCCAACAACGAACACGUGACCAUCAUUAUCUACAGUGAUGCCUCUCGGAUUUUCAAAACUGAUUCUUCUUUAAACCUCCAAACAUGUGAUCCAUUACGAUCACAACAAACUACACUGUGAUCAUACCAGUCAGUGUAGUAUAUCUUCUCGGCGAAUACAGAUAUGUAAGUCAAUCCUGAUAAGUUACAACUAAUCAAGUGAGAGGUAGUAUAAUCCAAGGUGUUUACUCUAUAUAUACCACGUCUUUCAACACAAACAAACAGCGAGUCUUGAUCACGUGUGAUUCCCCAUGGACGAUCAGGAAGGCUGAUGAAUUUGAUUUUCUUUCGGCUCUCGAUGUCUAUUAUGUCAAUACCGAUGUGCUCACUAGAAGAUCCAGAUGUGAUAGCGAUUGUUUUCUCAUUAAUUAUUGUUAUGUCAUACCCAUAACUAGGAUCUAGCAACAUAUCAAAUUUGAAUUUACCAUCCGACGCAAUGACUUUAGCCUUUCCGUAAGUAAUAGUCGGUGAAGAAAAAUUCGCCAUUAACUGACAUGCAACAACCUCUAAUAUUCUCCCCGCCUGUUGUAAUUGUCUUUUGUAGAAUCAACUUCAAGUCGUCUAUGGUCUUCGUUGGCGUUACUUGUAACUGUGCUUGUUUAUCUUUCUCUCUGAUUAAACGAAUGCUACUCGACUUCUUGUCAAUUUCAAUUGCUCCAAAAGUUUUCAAACUGUCGAAGAUACUAAGCAUCCCUGGGUCUACUUUACAAGUCAGGUCUACAUGGUCCAAUUUGUUAGUUUCAACCAACGAUUGUAAAUAUUGUUCAUUUUCAAAAACCUUCACUUCAAUAUUUCUCAUCACAAGAAAUGUUUGAAGAUCGGAAGCAUGUUGUUUGACUGAUUGGAGAUUGUUCUGAUAUUCUGUUAUCAAGUUUCUUUUCUUCAACUUCUGAUAACAGCUUCUGAAUAUUCUUUUUACAUUGACUCACUUUUUUCUCAAGAUCUUGUAUUAUUUCUUUUUCAAGUUUGUCUAAAUGUUUGUUAAUUUGAAUUCUUAUUUUUUGAAUUUCUACAAGUUGUCGCUCCUUCUUUUCUUCAAUAUUACUCAAAUUAGCCGUUCGGUCCUUCUUGAUUCUAUCAAUGUUCUGUAAUAAGUCCAUCAAUGUUAGUUUCUAAAUCUUGAAAUUGCCCGGAUGUCUUAGCGUUGUUUAUGACCUCAUCAAGAUGAAUGACGUUGCAUUUCUGAUGUUCUUUAAUGCAUUUUAAACAAAUAGGUAACGCAUGUGCAACACAGUAUUGUUGAUACUUUUCAUUGUGAUAGGUACAUGACUGCUGUAUAUCAGUAAUGAAGGACGGAAGAGAUUUGUACUUGUCAAUUGGUAUGAGUUGGUGACUUCGUGUGGCUUUGAGUACUGUAUGAUGUUCUUGGCAGUCGUCACAAAUGGCUUCUUCACACUCCGAGCACCAGUAUGUUGAUUGUUUGGUUAUAUGUCGCUCUGAACAUGGACCACAAAGAGCUGUACUAGUAGCCAUGGUGAUAACCUGAAAUAUGUAUCAAGUUAUAUAUUUUUAUCAUAACAUCAUGAAUACGAAGCUGUUAUAUGAC